GGGUUGUGAGGUUAAGCGACUAAGCGUACACGGUGGAUGCCCUGGCAGUCAGAGGCGAUGAAGGACGUGCUAAUCUGCGAAAAGCGUCGGUAAGGUGAUAUGAACCGUUAUAACCGGCGAUGUCCGAAUGGGGAAACCCAGUGUGAUUCGUCACACUAUCGUUAACUGAAUACAUAGGUUAACGAGGCGAACCGGGGGAACUGAAACAUCUAAGUACCCCGAGGAAAAGAAAUCAACCGAGAUUCCCCCAGUAGCGGCGAGCGAACGGGGAGCAGCCCAGAGUCUGAAUCAGCUUGUGUGUUAGUGGAACGGUCUGGAAAGUCCGACGGUACAGGGUGAUAGUCCCGUACACCAAAAUGCACAGGCUGUGAACUCGAAGAGUAGGGCGGGACACGUGGUAUCCUGUCUGAAUAUGGGGGGACCAUCCUCCAAGGCUAAAUACUCCUGACUGACCGAUAGUGAACCAGUACCGUGAGGGAAAGGCGAAAAGAACCCCGGCGAGGGGAGUGAAAAAGAACCUGAAACCGUGUACGUACAAGCAGUGGGAGCACCUUCGGGUGUGACUGCGUACCUUUUGUAUAAUGGGUCAGCGACUUAUAUUCUGUAGCAAGGUUAACCGUAUAGGGGAGCCGCAGGGAAACCGAGUCUUAACUGGGCGUUAAGUUGCAGGGUAUAGACCCGAAACCCGGUGAUCUAGCCAUGGGCAGGUUGAAGGUUGGGUAACACUAACUGGAGGACCGAACCGACUAAUGUUGAAAAAUUAGCGGAUGACUUGUGGCUGGGGGUGAAAGGCCAAUCAAACCGGGAGAUAGCUGGUUCUCCCCGAAAGCUAUUUAGGUAGCGCCUCGUGAACUCAUCUUCGGGGUAGAGCACUGUUUCGGCUAGGGGGUCAUCCCGACUUACCAACCCGAUGCAAACUACGAAUACCGAAGAAUGUUAUCACGGGAGACACACGGCGGGUGCUAACGUCCGUCGUGAAGAGGGAAACAACCCAGACCGCCAGCUAAGGUCCCAAAGUCAUGGUUAAGUGGGAAACGAUGUGGGAAGGCACAGACAGCCAGGAUGUUGGCUUAGAAGCAGCCAUCAUUUAAAGAAAGCGUAAUAGCUCACUGGUCGAGUCGGCCUGCGCGGAAGAUGUAACGGGGCUAAACCAUGCACCGAAGCUGCGGCAGCGACACUAUGUGUUGUUGGGUAGGGGAGCGUUCUGUAAGCCUGCGAAGGUGUGCUGUGAGGCAUGCUGGAGGUAUCAGAAGUGCGAAUGCUGACAUAAGUAACGAUAAAGCGGGUGAAAAGCCCGCUCGCCGGAAGACCAAGGGUUCCUGUCCAACGUUAAUCGGGGCAGGGUGAGUCGACCCCUAAGGCGAGGCCGAAAGGCGUAGUCGAUGGGAAACAGGUUAAUAUUCCUGUACUUGGUGUUACUGCGAAGGGGGGACGGAGAAGGCUAUGUUAGCCGGGCGACGGUUGUCCCGGUUUAAGCAUGUAGGCUGGUUGUCCAGGCAAAUCCGGAUAAUCAAGGCUGAGGUGUGAUGACGAGGCACUACGGUGCUGAAGUAACAAAUGCCCUGCUUCCAGGAAAAGCCUCUAAGCAUCAGGUAACAUCAAAUCGUACCCCAAACCGACACAGGUGGUCAGGUAGAGAAUACCAAGGCGCUUGAGAGAACUCGGGUGAAGGAACUAGGCAAAAUGGUGCCGUAACUUCGGGAGAAGGCACGCUGGUGUGUAGGUGAAGCCCCUGCGGGUGGAGCUGAGACCAGUCGAAGAUACCAGCUGGCUGCAACUGUUUAUUAAAAACACAGCACUGUGCAAACACGAAAGUGGACGUAUACGGUGUGACGCCUGCCCGGUGCCGGAAGGUUAAUUGAUGGGGUUAUCCGUAAGGAGAAGCUCUUGAUCGAAGCCCCGGUAAACGGCGGCCGUAACUAUAACGGUCCUAAGGUAGCGAAAUUCCUUGUCGGGUAAGUUCCGACCUGCACGAAUGGCGUAAUGAUGGCCAGGCUGUCUCCACCCGAGACUCAGUGAAAUUGAACUCGCUGUGAAGAUGCAGUGUACCCGCGGCAAGACGGAAAGACCCCGUGAACCUUUACUAUAGCUUGACACUGAACAUUGAGCCUUGAUGUGUAGGAUAGGUGGGAGGCUUUGAAGCGUGGACGCCAGUCUGCGUGGAGCCAACCUUGAAAUACCACCCUUUAAUGUUUGAUGUUCUAACGUUGGCCCCUGACCGGGGUUGCGGACAGUGUCUGGUGGGUAGUUUGACUGGGGCGGUCUCCUCCCAAAGCGUAACGGAGGAGCACGAAGGUUAGCUAAUCCUGGUCGGACAUCAGGAGGUUAGUGCAAUGGCAUAAGCUAGCUUGACUGCGAGCGUGACGGCGCGAGCAGGUGCGAAAGCAGGUCAUAGUGAUCCGGUGGUUCUGAAUGGAAGGGCCAUCGCUCAACGGAUAAAAGGUACUCCGGGGAUAACAGGCUGAUACCGCCCAAGAGUUCAUAUCGACGGCGGUGUUUGGCACCUCGAUGUCGGCUCAUCACAUCCUGGGGCUGAAGUAGGUCCCAAGGGUAUGGCUGUUCGCCAUUUAAAGUGGUACGCGAGCUGGGUUUAGAACGUCGUGAGACAGUUCGGUCCCUAUCUGCCGUGGGCGCUGGAGAAUUGAGGGGGGCUGCUCCUAGUACGAGAGGACCGGAGUGGACGCAUCACUGGUGUUCGGGUUGUCAUGCCAAUGGCACUGCCCGGUAGCUAAAUGCGGAAGAGAUAAGUGCUGAAAGCAUCUAAGCACGAAACUUGCCCCGAGAUGAGUUCUCCCUGAGACUUUAAGUCUCCUGAAGGAACGUUAAAGACGAUGACGUUGAUAGGCCGGGUGUGUAAGCGCAGCGAUGCGUUGAGCUAACCGGUACUAAUGAACCGUGAGGCUUAACCUUACAACGCCGAAG
rnacentral:rRNA from 1 species